ACACGCGUUUAUAGAAUGUCUAUAGAUAUAGCCCAUCGUUUAGUGAAUUUUUCGAUGGCCAGUUUUUUGAGCCACGUGUUGGUUUUCGAACAACCCAGGCUCGAGUGCGAGAGAACGCACGAUCGUGAAUUGCGUAGCCGUCCUCCAUCAUCACCAAUCAUCUUAAUUGUCAAUUUGCUUAAUGUUGCAGUCUGCCUUAUCCCAGUGUCCAGCCGGACAGUCAAUCCAAGACGGGCAUGAGAGGAGCGUUUUCGAUUUCGAGCACCUCGUGAAGCGUGAAGACGAACCAAAUUCAGCCCAACUUUGUUCUUAUGUUCUAUUAUGUUUGAUAUACGAAAGGCCAUGUCGGCCUAUUCUGUUUUUCUUGCAAAUCGGCUUUUUCUGGCUAAUAGCCAGUUUUUUAUGCCUCGAUAUCUCUUGUUUACAUGUUACAUUCUUGUCAAAUUUUGUUCUCAUGAAAUGUAAAUUUUUGACACGCGCACCCCCAUUAUUCUCAAAAUAAGUCUGAGGAAAAGGGGGCGUGCCGCGGUCGAGGAAGGCUAGACGGCCUUCAGUUUUCUUUGAAGUUGCUAAAUAAAAUAAGUCUACACCCUUA